CACUCCCGUUUUUAUGGCCCAACUGUGCCAUUUUGCGUUCGAUUAAGCGAAAAAUACCGUCAGCUAGCUGAUAAUUUUUGCUAAGCACUUUGAAUGCUUUCCAGACAAACAUCAGCUCAACAGCUGGAAGACAGAGGUAGUGAUUUUCCGGCGAUCCUUUGCUUAUACUUGGGUGUAUCAUGCAUUAGAGACUCAACGGUUUCCAGCUCAUUGUCGUCGAGAUCAUCGUUCAUUAGCAUUACAGCCGCUUGCUGAUAGGAGUAAAUCGUACGAGACCAUUUGCUGUGCUCCACUAAAUAGCUGGCGUACAAUUUCGCCUCCCGCCAGUCCAGCUUCAAACUGAAUAUAUAAUAAAGGAAAUUUGUAUAUAGAAUAAGUAGCAACUGUAAAGUAAAUAAAUGUAUAGAACUCCAAUAAAAACAAGUGAGUUGUUUAAGGUAAGGUUUUUUUCGUCGAAAAGAGACCUUUUCUCAUGAAUUUUUUUAGAAAAAAUUAUUGCUGCAGGUUAAUUUUACUUAUUAUUAUAUGAAAGUACAACAUUUGAAGGAUACUUAAAAAAAGUUUUAUCGAAAAAUAGCGAGGAAUAACGGAUUUAUCGUCGAUCUCUGCAGGCACCUCGAAAAAAGUGCUUGUGCGGUGACCAGCCUACAGCAUCGCUGGAUCAUCCAAAACCAAAAAAUCAAAAUGCUUUCUUUAGUUUAUUAGUUUAUCUUUCAAUUGACGUGGAGUUUUUUUUAAUUUUUCAAUUUUUGGUACCAUUUUCAAGCCAAAAUUACGAUUUUAGACGAAAAAAUCGACCUAUUUGUUAUUGUAAAAUCGUUAGUAAUUGAAAUUUUUGUACUCGACAUUCGAGAGCUAUAUAUAUGUAGAAUAUUUGUUCAAAAUUUCAAAACGAUCGAUGCUGUAGUUUUUCCUGUAGGCUGGUCACCGACUUUAAAAAUGGCAUAUUGGGGAAAAUCGUUUCAAAGUUUUGAUACCGUUAUUCAACCUGCUGUAACUUCCUAGGUUUUUCUCCCAAUGAUUAUAGCUGAAAUUAUACCUUAUUAUGUCCAAAAAUUUCGAAAUAUUCGAUCGAGUAAUUUCUUAAAAAAAAAUUCACGAAAACCUCCUAAUUCUUCUAGUGCGCCCGACGAUUUUGGUAUCGAAGCAAACCUUAAGCAUCUUAUAUCUUAUACUAGUCUGCUCAGCAUGAACCGCAUAGAACUGUAGGGUAGCGCACAUGUGCUCCGGACUGUAAAUAGUGAUACCGCGCAAGUUGGUGUUCUCUUCCCUUUGCUCUGGAUGGGGUGGUGGAACUUGAAAAUCAAGGCUGUGGAGUUUCGGCCUAUGCUGACAAUGUAGCCCUUAGAGUUAUUUGACUUUACAGACGGUAAAUAUUAUUACAUACA